UACGGAAGGUCCGGGCGUUAUCCGGAUUCAUUGGGUUUAAAGGGAGCGUAGGCCGCCCUUUAAGCGUGUUGUGAAAUGUAGGGGCUCAACCCCUGCACUGCAGCGCGAACUGGAGGGCUUGAGUACACGCAAGGCAGGCGGAAUUCGUGGUGUAGCGGUGAAAUGCUUAGAUAUCACGAAGAACCCCGAUUGCGAAGGCAGCUUGCCGGAGUGUGACUGACGCUGAAGCUCGAAAGCGCGGGUAUCGAACAGG
rnacentral:rRNA from 1 species